CAACGCCACGGGUUCUGGUGUAAACAAAGCUUGAUUGUCCUGUGUAAGUGACUGCACCGACACGUUGUUGACCAGUCCGGUGCCUCUGUCAGACCGUUUUCAUAAAGCUGUUAUUCCUGCAGAGCUGGUGAAUGGUGCUGUUUGUUGACCGUAGGUGAAGCUACAGAUCUAAAAGACAGAGAGCAGUCAGACACAUUGGAUCCUCCUGAGCUGUCUGGCUUCACUUCCUCUGCAGCUGUGUGCGUCUGCAGCCUCCACAGGGAAACUCUGAGAGCCAGGCUGUCUCCUCUGAGGUCGUCUCCUCUGAGGCUGCUCUCACAUUAGACAGGUUUAGUGAGUUUACUUUUAGUUGCUGAGACAGCUGUCAGUCAGACCUGGAUGUGGACUAAACAGCUUCUCACCAUCAGACUCUGGUUGGUUAGUGUGAAAACAAAACACAACUUCUGUGUACAGCGCCAUCACCAGACAAAGGGGCUCAGUCAGCAGCAGGUCACCGUCUCUCUCCUGCUCCACAGACAGACUGAAGAAGCCGUUUGUGCCUCAGGCUGUAGGACGCUUCACCUCCUCUCAGUGAGGAGGCCUGGUCUGAGUUCUGGACAUGUGAUGUCACUAUUCGGCUCCAUACUAUGGUCCCACCUCACCUUCAUCAGACUAACACAGCAUGAAACUGAGCAAAAAACGUUUAUAUGAAGAUUGCACCUGCGUUUUGAGAGAAGAUGGCAUCACACUGAUCUGACGACAGUGACCGUGUUGGCCAAUAAGCAGCGGCACCCAUAGAACGGCCACUGCAGGUGAAGAAGGGGCUGCCCCGUGUUCUGUGGCUCUGAUUGGCUGUUUUAUUGACUGACUGACGUUUGUUGCACCAGCCACCUACAGCUGUGCUGACUCAGCUGUGAUCAGUGUGGACGUUGGCCCCCACCAUGUGCAGGCAGAGGAAAGUCACAGCAGGUGGUUUGGUUCUGGGACUGGAGUCGUGUUCUCUUAAGUAUUUCCACUGUGUCAGAUUGGUUUGUGCACCAUUGCAGAGCAAUGAUCACAUUUCAAAUGUAUUGAUAGGUUUCUGUAGCGCCUGUGUACACCCUCCAUGUUUCACACCUCCUCUGUUCUUAUUCAAUUAUUACUUUAUUUAACCCAAUAAAAUGUUUGUGUAUAAAAAUCCA